GACGAACGCUGGCGGUGUGCUUAACACAUGCAAGUCGAACGGAAAGGCCCUGCUUUUGUGGGGUGCUCGAGUGGCGAACGGGUGAGUAACACGUGAGUAACCUGCCCUUGACUUUGGGAUAACUUCAGGAAACUGGGGCUAAUACCGGAUAGGAGCUCCUGCUGCAUGGUGGGGGUUGGAAAGUUUCGGCGGUUGGGGAUGGACUCGCGGCUUAUCAGCUUGUUGGUGGGGUAGUGGCUUACCAAGGCUUUGACGGGUAGCCGGCCUGAGAGGGUGACCGGCCACAUUGGGACUGAGAUACGGCCCAGACUCCUACGGGAGGCAGCAGUGGGGAAUAUUGCACAAUGGGCGGAAGCCUGAUGCAGCAACGCCGCGUGCGGGAUGACGGCCUUCGGGUUGUAAACCGCUUUCGCCUGUGACGAAGCGUGAGUGACGGUAAUGGGUAAAGAAGCACCGGCUAACUACGUGCCAGCAGCCGCGGUGAUACGUAGGGUGCGAGCGUUGUCCGGAUUUAUUGGGCGUAAAGGGCUCGUAGGUGGUUGAUCGCGUCGGAAGUGUAAUCUUGGGGCUUAACCCUGAGCGUGCUUUCGAUACGGGUUGACUUGAGGAAGGUAGGGGAGAAUGGAAUUCCUGGUGGAGCGGUGGAAUGCGCAGAUAUCAGGAGGAACACCAGUGGCGAAGGCGGUUCUCUGGGCCUUUCCUGACGCUGAGGAGCGAAAGCGUGGGGAGCGAACAGGCUUAGAUACCCUGGUAGUCCACGCUGUAAACGGUGGGUACUAGGUGUGGGGUCCAUUCCACGGGUUCCGUGCCGUAGCUAACGCUUUAAGUACCCCGCCUGGGGAGUACGGCCGCAAGGCUAAAACUCAAAGGAAUUGACGGGGCCCCGCACAAGCGGCGGAGCAUGCGGAUUAAUUCGAUGCAACGCGUAGAACCUUACCUGGGUUUGACAUGGAUCGGGAGUGCUCAGAGAUGGGUGUGCCUCUUUUGGGGUCGGUUCACAGGUGGUGCAUGGCUGUCGUCAGCUCGUGUCGUGAGAUGUUGGGUUAAGUCCCGCAACGAGCGCAACCCCUGUUCACUGUUGCCAGCACGUUAUGGUGGGGACUCAGUGGAGACCGCCGGGGUCAACUCGGAGGAAGGUGGGGAUGACGUCAAGUCAUCAUGCCCCUUAUGUCCAGGGCUUCACGCAUGCUACAAUGGCUGGUACAGAGAGUGGCGAGCCUGUGAGGGUGAGCGAAUCUCGGAAAGCCGGUCUCAGUUCGGAUUGGGGUCUGCAACUCGACCUCAUGAAGUCGGAGUCGCUAGUAAUCGCAGAUCAGCAACGCUGCGGUGAAUACGUUCCCGGGGCU
rnacentral:rRNA from 1 species